rnacentral:tRNA from 2 species
AAUCCGUCGACUUUCAAAGUCGUGAGGGUUCAACUCCCUCUAUCCCCA